AUAAACUUGAAAACUGUCAGUUUAAGGACUUUUUGUGAUACAUGAACGUUAUUUUAGUUAGAAAUGUUACAGUAAAAGUGCUUGUAUUGCGGUCUCGGCUCGUAUGUUCGGCCGCGCUCGGUGUCGUACUUCUCCCACUACGUUUCCCCCUGAUUUUAAUAGAAGUUUGUAUUUUAGGACCAAAAGAGAAAACCAGGGAAUUUAUUAAGCUUAGGGCGGAGAUGGACCACAUGAUCACCGGAGCAAAGUAUUCGGCGGCUGUGGCAUGGAGACUAUUCUGGAGAAAAUGGGCAUCCAGGGGAAGGUGCCAGCGAUGAGCUUCUGGAGCUGAUCUGGGAGGACAUGAGGCUGCAGAGCAGCAGAGAGCACAGGAGAGAAGGAAGAACUUUGACAGCUUUUUACUUUGCUAGAAAAAAAUGGUUAAUGAAGAUUAAACAUGUACAUGUAAAAGAAAUAUCUAAAUAAAAUCAGUUCUGCAUUAAA